CAGUUUCGCGACGAACGCAAGCUGCGUGAUUAUUAUCGCGGCAAGAGCGGCGGUCUGACGGACGCAGAACUUGACGUGAUGUUCGAGCGCCGUUUUGCCUACCAAAAGACCUAUGGUGAAACCAACAUGCGCGCGAUCGUGGCGCUUGCGCACAGCUACAAUAUCCCGCUUGCCAGUCAUGACGACACCACCGAGGAGAAUGUCGCCGAUGCAAUCCGCGACCGCGUCUCCGU
rnacentral:misc_RNA from 1 species